rnacentral:rRNA from 1 species
AACACAUGCAAGUCGAACGGUAACAGGAAGCAGCUUGCUGCUUCGCUGACGAGUGGCGGACGGGUGAGUAAUGUCUGGGAAGCUGCCUGAUGGAGGGGGAUAACUACUGGAAACGGUAGCUAAUACCGCAUAAUGUCGCAAGACCAAAGAGGGGGACCCUCGGGCCUCUUGCCAUCGGAUGUGCCCAGAUGGGAUUAGCUUGUUGGUGGGGUAACGGCUCACCAAGGCGACGAUCCCUAGCUGGUCUGAGAGGAUGACCAGCCACACUGGAACUGAGACACGGUCCAGACUCCUACGGGAGGCAGCAGUGGGGAAUAUUGCACAAUGGGCGCAAGCCUGAUGCAGCCAUGCCGCGUGUAUGAAGAAGGCCUUCGGGUUGUAAAGUACUUUCAGCGGGGAGGAAGGGAGUAAAGUUAAUACCUUUGCUCAUUGACGUUACCCGCAGAAGAAGCACCGGCUAACUCCGUGCCAGCAGCCGCGGUAAUACGGAGGGUGCAAGCGUUAAUCGGAAUUACUGGGCGUAAAGCGCACGCAGGCGGUUUGUUAAGUCAGAUGUGAAAUCCCCGGGCUCAACCUGGGAACUGCAUCUGAUACUGGCAAGCUUGAGUCUCGUAGAGGGGGGUAGAAUUCCAGGUGUAGCGGUGAAAUGCGUAGAGAUCUGGAGGAAUACCGGUGGCGAAGGCGGCCCCCUGGACGAAGACUGACGCU